rnacentral:rRNA from 2 species
UACGUAGGUGGCAAGCGUUGUCCGGAUUUACUGGGUGUAAAGGGGGCGCAGGCGGGAAGCUAAGUUGGAUGUGAAAUACCGGGGCUCAACUCCGGAGCUGCAUCCAAAACUGGUUUUCUUGAGUGGAGUAGAGGCAAGCGGAAUUCCGAGUGUAGCGGUGAAAUGCGUAGAUAUUCGGAGGAACACCAGUGGCGAAGGCGGCUUGCUGGGCUCUAACUGACGCUGAGGCCCGAAAGCGUGGGGAGCAAACAGG